rnacentral:rRNA from 1 species
UGGGGAAUUUUGGACAAUGGGCGAAAGCCUGAUCCAGCAAUGCCGCGUGUGUGAAGAAGGCCUUCGGGUUGUAAAGCACUUUUGUCCGGAAAGAAAUCCUUGGCUCUAAUACAGUCGGGGGAUGACGGUACCGGAAGAAUAAGCACCGGCUAACUACGUGCCAGCAGCCGCGGUAAUACGUAGGGUGCAAGCGUUAAUCGGAAUUACUGGGCGUAAAGCGUGCGCAGGCGGUUUGCUAAGACCGAUGUGAAAUCCCCGGGCUCAACCUGGGAACUGCAUUGGUGACUGGCAGGCUAGAGUAUGGCAGAGGGGGGUAGAAUUCCACGUGUAGCAGUGAAAUGCGUAGAGAUGUGGAGGAAUACCGAUGGCGAAGGCAGCCCCCUGGGCCAAUACUGACGCUCAUGCACGAAAAGCGUGGGGGAGCAAAACAGGAUUAGAUACCCUGGUAGUCCACGCCCUAAAACGAUGUCAACUAGUUGUUGGGGAUUCAUUUCCUUAGUAACGUAGCUAACGCGUGAAGUUGACCGCCUGGGGGAGUACGGUCGCAAGAUUAAAAACUCAAAUGAAUUGACGGGGUCAUAGCUGUUU